UACGUAGGGUGCUAGCGUUGUUCGGAAUCAUUGGGCGUAAAGCGCGUGUAGGCGGUCCGGUAAGUCCGCUGUGAAAGUCGAGGGCUCAACCCUCGAAUGCCGGUGGAUACUGUCGGGCUUGAGUACGGGAGAGGCGAGUGGAAUUCCUGGUGUAGCGGUGAAAUGCGCAGAUAUCAGGAGGAACACCGAUUGCGAAGGCAGCUCGCUGGAACGUUACUGACGCUGAGACGCGAAAGCGUGGGGAGCAAACAGG
rnacentral:rRNA from 1 species